GAGUGAUGAUAUUUAUAGUGAACAACAAUAUAUAAAAUAACAAAGAUGGUGCUUGAUUUGGUAAAUGAGUGGGUGAUCAUAGUGCUUGAUGAGUAGAUGAUCGUAGUGCUUGAGUUGGUAAAGGAGUGGAUGAUCAUUUCAAUGUUUAUCUUAUAACACUCCCCCUUGAUCAUCCAUCUUGUAUUACGUAGUGCCUCGUUAAAAACCUAGUCAUGGAAAACCCAAUGGAAAAAACCAUAGUAAGGUAAAACGAGUACAACUACGUAAACUCCCCCUCGAAUGAGCAAUCAUAGAUCCUUCUGAUGGCGCAUUCCAAUGUUAUGGACAUGUUUUCUGAAUACCGAGGUAGGUAGUGAUUUUGUGAAGAGGUCGGUUGCAUUGUCGCAUGAUCGAACAUAUCUUACUUCGAUCUCUUUAUUCUUCUCAAGCUCUUGAGUGUAUGAGAAGA
rnacentral:lncRNA from 1 species